AUAGGGCUAGGAAGGCAUGAGAAUGAAAGGAGGAGUCCUUCUUACUACGACUCUUAAUUAAGAAGAGAAUAUGGCAUGAGAAAUCGGUUGUGGCAUGAGAAAAAGAAGGGAUAUUGCUGAAAACGUGGGGGAAGGAAAGAUAAAUAUAGAUUUGGAUGAGGGAGUCUCAACCUCACACAAAUCCAAGGGAUAAUGUGAAGAAGGAGGAGUGUCACCUUCACUAAUUCCUACCAAGGUUUGGCAUCUCACCAAGAAAAGAAAAGGAAAGCGUCUCACUUCCUUCAUGAGAGAGGCUCUCAAUGCAAAUUCUAUUCUUUGUAUUUUAUUCUUCAACCUCUCCUUUAUAUAGAGCAAGAGGUUAGGAUAAGUUGGACUC
rnacentral:lncRNA from 1 species